AGCCCUUGACAUGUGACUCGCCGGGACCAGAGACGGUCCCUUCGGUUCGGCCGGAGUCAACACAGGUGCUGCAUGGCUGUCGUCAGCUCGUGUCGUGAGAUGUUGGGUUAAGUCCCGCAACGAGCGCAACCCUCGUCUCCAGUUGCCAUCAGGUAAUGCUGGGCACUUUGGAGAAACUGCCGGUGACAAGCCGGAGGAAGGUGGGGAUGACGUCAAGUCCUCAUGGCCCUUACGGGCUGGGCUACACACGUGCUACAAUGGCGGUGACAAUGGGAUGCAAUGGGGCGACCCGGAGCCGAUCCUAAAAAACCGUCUCAGUUCGGAUUGCACUCUGCAACUCGAGUGCAUGAAGUUGGAAUCGCUAGUAAUCGCGGACCAGCAUGCCGCGGUGAAUACGUUCCCGGGCC
rnacentral:rRNA from 1 species